GAUAUGUGAACCUGACGUUUUUGAAUCCACCGCGCAACUCGAACUGCGGAAGAUGGGAACGGUCAAUGUCGUGAUCAUAGAACAUAUAAUUUUGCUAAAACACAAGUUUAAAGGAUUUAACAGCGAUUACAUAGUAAAAUAAAGCCAAAUUAAAUCAACAUUGCAUGAUUUUUAUUAAUUUUGGCUGUUUGCCUGUUCCAAGCCCGAUAAUUUACGACAUUACACCCUAGCCGUUUUGCGACGCCAUGUUUUGUAGAGAAGGACGCAACGAUACAUUUGCAAGGAAAAAAGCAGUUUAUACGCCGAAAAUAGAUUAUACGGUUAUAUGUAGACGAAAAUAUACAGAUUGGUGCCGUUCGGAUUCAUGUAACAACUGUACAAACGAUGUCACCCCGAAUGCAGUUCCACGAUGUACAUGUACUUCAUUGUUUUUCACGUAUAGAGAAGGAAAAGAAUCCACAUAUAUCAGUAGUUAACAUCUUCCACCUACUCAACUCUAGAUAGCUGUGCCUGAUGUAUGAAAAGAUCUCUGUGUGUUGCAAACACUAGAAUGGGCUAAGAAUCAUAUUAAUGUGUCAAAGCCUGAAAUCUGCAUGGCACAGUUGUUAGAGCAGCUCUCAAUUGUCUCAAAGUAAGGAGCACUGUGGAACAUGGAGGCCAGUCCUUUGGAUGAGACUGUAUAAACUGUGUUCCUCUGCUGCAGUAGACAUUGGCAUGAAAAAGAUCCCUCAGAGCUCAAUGGCCAAAAGUACCGAGUAAUAGGUUUAAAGCUGCAGCCCUUCACCAGCAAGUGGUAGCGUCUUCAUAUGAGUGAAAAAAAUUCUUGAGAGGGACAUUACACAACAUACAAACAAAGCAAAGGCUGAACUAUUUGCUUCAGAAAAGACCUACACCUACAGUGAUCAUUAUUUGAACAAAGUAUGUGACCAAAAAAGCUUGCAGUUGAAAGGCAAAGAAAAGAAUUCAUUAUGACAGGAAAGCUAGCUUUUAUAGAACAGACUGUACAUGCAUGUAGAAACUAUUGUCAAGGUUAAAGAAAUAAUUCUGUUUGACUAGGACAAAAGUUCUCUUUUUUGAUAAGUGUUUUAUUUUUAACUGGUGUCCAAUAUCUCCAUAUGUUGUACAUUUUAAUAUUAAUUACAUUGGCAAUUAGAUUUGGCCUAAAAUAUGUCAUUGUAAUGUCAGUCUUAUUGUGUGGCCUUUUUCUGUUCAUAUAAACCUUAGUGCUUGAAAUAGACUAUGAAAUAUAGGAAAUGGGGAUGUGAAUAAUUAUAUAAUUAUUUAAGGACUUAAUAAUGAUUAUUUUAUUAUUUUAUUUAUAAUAUUUAUUCAAACAUGUUACAGCAAAAUUUAUUUAGUGCAAACACGGAUAUAGCAAAUCCAUGGAUAUAGCGAACUUUUUUAGAUCCUCAGCUAUAUAAAUUUAAUGAAUUCGUUACAUGGAUAUAACGGAUUGUGGAUAUAGCGAAGUAAUUUUAUGGGUCUUAAUGACUUAAUUAAAACCGAGUUUCACUGUAUAUAUUUAAAAUUAAACUGAAUAGUUUCUUUAUUGAUUUUUUAGCCAUCAUCACAUACAAAUGUGCUUUAAGUCAGAUUUUGGAAAAAAGUCAGAGGAAAUUCAGAUUAUCAUAUCUUUUUUUUUCCAAUUCAUGUACAAACCAAUUUUAUACUCAUUCACAAAACUAAACAUCACUUCUUUAAAAUGGAAUUGAAAAACCAAAUUUCUAAUUAUAUCAAGUGGGAUUUUAUAACAUUUUUUAUAGUCAAGAUUGAGGAAAAAAUAGGCAAUUUUUAAGAGGCCAGAGGAAAUUCAGAUUAAUUAUGUGUUUAUUAGAUACUUGAUUUAAGAAAAAGAAUAAGCAUGUACAUGAUGUAUGAAUUUGAAUUUUUAUUUUAACAUGUUUUAUAUUUAAAAUUAAACUAAAUAAUUUUUUUGAUUGAUUUUUCAGCAAUUAUUAUAGUUAAAUGUGUUUUAUGGGUCAAUUUUUGAAAAAGGCCAGAGGAAAUUCAGAUUAUUAUAUCUAUUUUUCCAAGUCAUGUACAUACCAAUUUUUUCCCGCUUUCACAAAGCUAAACAUCACUUCUUUAAAAUGGAAUUGAAAAACUAAAUUUCCAAUUAUAUCAAGUGUGAUUUUAUAAGAUUUUUACAGUGAAGAUUGAGAAAAAAUAGGCAAUUUUUAAGAGGUCAGAGGAAAUUCAGACUGUAAUU